rnacentral:rRNA from 1 species
GAUGAACGCUGACAGAAUGCUUAAUACAUGCAAGUCAACUGUGGCGGACGGGUGAGUAACGCGUAUAGAACUUGCCUCACGGAUAGGGACAACAUUUGGAACCGAAUGCUAAUACCUGAUACUGUGAGAGAGCUGUGCGUCCCAUUAGCUAGUAGGAGAGGUAACGGCUCACCAAGGCGAUGAUGGGUAGCCGGCCUGAGAGGGUGAUCGGCCAAAAGGGGACUGAGACACGGCCCUUACUCCAACGGGAGGCAGCAGAGGGGAAUAAUGGACAAUGGGCCAAAGUCUGAUCCAGCAAAUCUGUGUGCACGAUGAAGUUUUCGGAAUGUAAAGUGCUUUCAGUUAGGAAACAGUACCAACAGAAGAAGGGACGGCUAAAUACGUGCCAGCAGCCGCGGUAAUAC